rnacentral:tRNA from 1 species
GCACCUGGCUCAGUUGAUAGAGCCUGUGACUUUUGAUCUCAGGGCCGUGAGUUCAAGCCUCACAUGGGGCG